AACCAUGGAAGCAGCCAUCUUGAUUACUGCAAGUGCUUUACCUCGCUAGCCACAGUAGCCGCAACAGGAAGUACGUCAAAAUCAGUGACGUCAUAGAUUCCUACCAGUACUGUCGCAGUGCGCUGCAUCUUAUUUCGGAACGNUAUUUACAGUACUGACAGUACUGGCAGUACAUUACGGAACGCAGCCUUAGUUAGAUCGGUGUUGGAGUGGGAGUGUCAGGUCAUGUAUCCUCUGAGGUCACGGGAAAUGCAGGGUCAGUGCGAGAACAAACUACCCGGUGGGUCUUAGACAAGACCCGUGCGGACUGGGUCCCCACGUGCAAUGACAACCGGUUUGGCCUCUUCGAAGUUGGUAACGAACUUUCCCACCUGGUUGCUAGUGUUAAAAAGUAUUCCCUACCGGGACACCUGUCCUUUCCGUUUGGUAUUCAGUAUCACAAGUGGACACCGAGAUUGGAUGGGUCGUUAGCUAGGAACUCCCCUAAGAACCCCCCGAUUGCGGUGGGCUUCGCGGUGGUCUCUGAAUCCUUUGACCUGGUUCAUAGCGAACGUAUACACUCCGGGGCUACAAUCUUCGAAGCAGAGGCAAGGGCGGUCCAGUGCGCCCUGGAGUAUAUCGAUGAGUUUGGAUUCCAGUCUGCGGUUAUCGCUUCUGAUUCCCUCAGUGUCAUGCGAUGCCUGGAGGCCACGGACCCUAAGGGUCUGCAACCUGACUCUAUAUACUUAAUAAAAAAAACUCGAUUUGGUAAUGAGAAAGAAAAAUUUAGCGGUUAGAUUUGUUUGGAUCCCGGGUUAUCAUGGCAUACGCAGAAACGAUCGCGCGGAUACAAACGCCAAACUUUUCUUAUCUCUACCUGAACCAGUUGAAAAACAGGAUGUUUCAUCUCUGUUCCCCGUUAUCAAAUCACAAACACUACAACAGUCUAGGAAAUAUUUACUCCGUGAAGCCCAAAGUAAGGGACGUAGGUACUUUGAAUUCAUCCAAGAACCGCUAAGUAAACCGUGAUUCUCUAGAGCCAAAGAGAAAAAAUACUUACCGCGCCAACUUGUAACUUUUAUAUCAAGAAUUCGUUCACACCACACAGCGGUGAACGAACACUUAAGCGACAAGAGUAUAGUGGACAGUGCUGCGUGUUCUUGCGGCCAUCAGUCGCAAGACAUUAACCAUGUGUUCCUAUAUUGCCCUAAGAAUAAGACUGCGUCAGAUAAACUGCUCAUGGAUCUGUUUCAUAAUGGCUUUAGCCCUCCAUACAAUGUAGUGGAAGUGGCUUUCUCUUCAAAUGUUAGCUCCAUGUUUGCUCUGCUCUCUUUUGUCAAUUCUGCCAACGUUAACGUGUAAUCUCCUAUAUGAGCGAAACAUCCCCCCUCAAUCGCACCUGUUUUUUCUCCUUCAAAUCCCCACUCUAUUCAUUCCUCCUUUCAUACCACCUGCUUCAAACUAGUUUCUAUACAUACCACACACAGCUCAGCCUGAAACGAAAUUCACUAAAUUAAACUGUUACGUCCUGACCUACGGUUAUGAUCGGGUCCUAACGGAGGAACGCAACUUGA